UUAUUGUUUUGAUUAAUAGAAUGUAUGAUCAUUAUGCAAGACUUCCUGAAAGGCUGUUUACAAGUCUGGGUAAGAAAGAAGAGAAGGAAUGUGUACUGUGCCCUGCAUGAGACAGGUUGAAAGCUGUGAAAAGUGUUCAUUCCAUAUGCUGGCAAUUUCACUAGAAACAAAAUGGGAGAAUUUGUGUUCUUACACAGGCUGAAGGAGAAAAGGAAAGGGCUGAGUCUGCGGAGUGGCGGCCACACUACAGUUGGAGUGAAGGGGGAACAGGAUUACUUGAUUUCCUUUUAACAGAUAAAUAUGAAUAAAUGCAAUUUGAUAAUGUA